AGUGUAGGCGGCUAUUUAAGUCGGAUGUGAAAUCCCCGGGCUCAACCUGGGAAUGGCAUUCGAAACUGAAUAGCUAGAGUUUGGUAGAGGUAAGUGGAAUUCCGGGUGUAGCGGUGAAAUGCGUAGAUAUCCGGAGGAACAUCAGUGGCGAAGGCGGCUUACUGGACCAAAACUGACGCUGAGGCUCGAAAGCGUGGGGAGCAAACAGGAUUAGAUACCCUGGUAGUCC
rnacentral:rRNA from 1 species